rnacentral:rRNA from 1 species
GUAAGUUCCGACCCGCACGAAUGGUGUAACGACCUCCCCACUGUCUCGGCAGGAGACUCGGCGAAAUUGUAGCGCCCGUGAAGAUGCGGGCUACCCGCAGCUGGACGGAAAGACCCCGUGAACCUUCACUAUAACCUGGCACUGAACUUCGGUUGAGUAUGUGUAGGAUAGGUGGGAGGCUUUGAAGUAGAGACGCCAGUCUUUAUGGAGCCAUCCUUGAAAUACCACCCUUAUUCUGCUGAAGUUCUAACCGGUAGCUAGAACUAUCGGAACACUGUCAGGCGGGUAGUUUGACUGGGGCGGUCGC